AGGAUUAACGCUGGCGGCGUGCCUAACACAUGCAAGUCGAACGAGGUAGCAAUACCUAGUGGCAGACGGGUGAGUAACACGUGGCCAACCUACCGUCGAGUGGGGGAUAACUAGCCGAAAGGUUAGCUAAUACCGCAUGAAACGUGCUGUGGCAUCACGGAACGUUAAAAGGAGCAAUCCGCUUGAUGACGGGGCCGCGUCCGAUUAGUUAGUUGGUGGGGUAACGGCCUACCAAGACUCCGAUCGGUAGCUGGUUUGAGAGAGCGACCAGCCACACUGGGACUGAGAAACGGCCCAGACUCCUACGGGAGGCAGCAGUGAGGAAUUUUCCGCAAUGGGCGAAAGCCUGACGGAGCGACGCCGCGUGUGGGAAGAAGGCCUUCGGGUCGUAACCACUGUCGAGGGGACUAUAAUGAAGGUACCUUGGAGGAAGCCCGGCUAACUACGUGCCAGCAGCCGC
rnacentral:rRNA from 1 species